CCUACGGGAGGCAGCAGUGAGGAAUAUUGGUCAAUGGGCGCGAGCCUGAACCAGCCAAGUAGCGUGAAGGAUGACUGCCCUACGGGUUGUAAACUUCUUUUAUAAAGGAAUAAAGUGAGGCACGUGUGCCUUUUUGUAUGUACUUUAUGAAUAAGGAUCGGCUAACUCCGUGCCAGCAGCCGCGGUAAUACGGAGGGUGCGAGCGUUAAUCGGAAUUACUGGGCGUAAAGCGCUCGUAGGCGGUAUGUCAAGUCAAGGGUGAAAUCCCCGCGCUCAACGUGGGAACUGCCUUUGAAACUGGCAAACUGGAGUGUGUGAGAGGAUAGUGGAAUUCCAGGUGUAGGAGUGAAAUGCGUAGAUAUUAGGAGGAACACCAGUGGCGAAGGCGGCUUACUGGACGGUAACUGACGUUGAGGCUCGAAAGCGUGGGGAGCAAACAGGAUUAGAUACCCUUGUAGUC
rnacentral:rRNA from 1 species